UGAGUACGAGAUGCUACGGCAUCGAAGCAGUCUAUGUCAUACUUCCAAGAAAAGCUUGCAAUGUCAUAAACAAAUAAUGCCUGUACCAUAACCGACACAGGUGGGUAGGUAGAGUAUACUAAGGGGCGCGAGAUAACUCUCUCUAAGGAACUCGGCAAAAUGACUCCGUAACUUCGGGAGAAGGAGUGCCUUAUUUUUAUAAGGUUGCAAUAACAAGAUCCAAGCAACUGUUUACCAAAAACACAGGUCUCCGCUAAGUCGUAAGACGAUGUAUGGGGGCUGACGCCUGCCCAGUGCCAGAAGGUUAAAGAAGUUGGUUAGCAUUAGCGAAGCUGAUAACUGAAGCCCUGGUGAACGGCGGCCGUAACAAUAACGGUCCUAAGGUAGCGAAAUUCCUUGUCGGGUAAGUUCCGACCCGCACGAAAGGCGUAAUGAUUUGGAUACUGUCUCGGAGAGGGGCUCGGUGAAAUAGACUUGUCUGUGAAGAUGCGGACUACCUGCACCUGGACAGAAAGACCCUAUGAAGCUUUACUGUAACUUGAGAUUGAAAUUGGACUUUAUCUGCGCAGUAUAGGUGGGAGACGUUGAAAAUAUUCUUGCGGGAAUAUUGGAGUCAUCAGUGAGAUACCACUCUUAUAAUGUUAGAUUUCUAACUUUGUAUCAUUAUCUGGUCAAAGAACAGUUUCAGGCGGGCAGUUUGACUGGGGCGGUCGCCUCCCAAACGGUAACGGAGGCGCACAAAGGUUUCCUCUGAACGUGUAGAAAUCGUAUCUAGAGUGUAAAGGCAUAAGGAAGCUUGACUGUGAGACCUACAAGUCGAGCAGGGACGAAAGUCGGUCUUAGUGAUCUGACGGUGCUGAGUGGAAAGGCCGUCACUCAACGGAUAAAAGUUACUCUAGGAUAACAGGCUGAUCUCCCCCAAGAGUUCACAUCGACGGGGAGGUUUGGCACCUCGAUGUCGGCUCAUCGCAUCCUGGGGCGGUAGUACGUCCCAAGGGUUGGGCUGUUCGCCCAUGAAAGCGGUACGCGAGCUGGGUUCAGAACGUCGUGAGACAGUUCGGUCCAUAUCCGGUGUAGGCGUUAGAAUAUUGAGAGGAGCCUUCUUUAGUACGAGAGGACCGAGAAGGACAUACCUCUGGUGUACCAGUUAUCGUGCCAACGGUAAACGCUGGGUAGCCAUGUAUGGAGAGGAUAACCGCUGAAAGCAUCUAAGUGGGAAGCCCACCUCAAGAUAAGUAC
rnacentral:rRNA from 1 species